rnacentral:rRNA from 1 species
CCAGUGAAAGUUUUUAACGGCCGCGGUACUCUGACCGUGCAAAGGUAGCAUAAUCAUUUGCCUUAUAAUUGAAGGCUGGUAUGAAUGGUUUGACAAGAAUAUAGCUGUCUCUUUAUAAUUUAAUAGAAUUUUAUUUUAAGGUGAAGAAGCCUUGAUCAAAUUAAAAGACAAGAAGACCCUAUCGAGCUUGAAAGAAUUUAAUGGAAUAUAUAGUAUUAAUAAUUAGUUAAAAAAUUAUCUAUUAAAAAUUUUGGUUGGGGCGACUGAGGAACAAAAAUAGCUUCCUUUAAAACGUAAUAACAUACAUGUAUUGAUCCAAAAUUUUUGAUUAAAGAAAUUAGUUACCGUAGGGAUAACAGCAUUAUCCUCUUUGAGAGUUCUUAUCGAAAAGGGGGUUUGUGACCUCGAUGUUGGACCAGAAUAUCCUAAAGAUGCAGAAGUCUUUAAGGGUUGGUCUGUUCGACCAUUAAAAUUCU